rnacentral:rRNA from 1 species
GAUGAACGCUGGCGGCGUGCCUAAUACAUGCAAGUCGAGCGAAUGGAUUAAGAGCUUGCUCUUAUGAAGUUAGCGGCGGACGGGUGAGUAACACGUGGGUAACCUGCCCAUAAGACUGGGAUAACUCCGGGAAACCGGGGCUAAUACCGGAUAACAUUUUGAACCGCAUGGUUCGAAAUUGAAAGGCGGCUUCGGCUGUCACUUAUGGAUGGACCCGCGUCGCAUUAGCUAGUUGGUGAGGUAACGGCUCCCCAAGGCAACGAUGCGUAGCCGACCUGAGAGGGUGCUCGGCCACACUGGGACUGAGACACGGCCCAGACUCCCACGGGAGGCAGCAGUAGGGAAUCUUCCGCAAUGGACGAAAGUCUGACGGAGCAACGCCGCGUGAGUGAUGAAGGCUUUCGGGUCGUAAAACUCUGUUGUUAGGGAAGAACAAGUGCUAGUUGAAUAAGCUGGCACCUUGACGGUACCUAACCAGAAAGCCACGGCUAACUACGUGCCAGCCGCCGCAGUAA